rnacentral:tRNA from 1 species
GGCAAGGUGGCCGAGCGGUCUAAGGCGCCACGUUAAGGAGUUUCAAAUCCUUGAUCCUGACUCUUGCGAGUUUCCGUGGUCUCGAAAGGGGCGUGAGUUCGAAUCUCACCCUUGUCA